rnacentral:lncRNA from 1 species
UAUCGGGUUUUGUUUCAGCUAACUUGGGCAGAUCUAGCUGUAUUUGACUUCACACAAGAGGUUUUAGCCGUUUGGAAACACGAAAAACUUAAUUUUCUAGAAGAAUUCAACAAACAUCACGAAAGAAUCAAAGCUGUUCCGAAAAUCAAAAAAUGGUUAGAAAACGAGACCAAAGACAGAACGGUGAAUCCCGAUUUUUUUCACUGACACGUUUAUGUUUUGUGUUCAAGUGUAUGUCUUUGUUUACCAAGCGAACAAAUAAUGGCACCAUUGUGCAUUGAUUUUGUCAUCUUUCAAAAAUCAUUAAAUCAAAAUAAAAAAAUUAUAUCGAUCACCACUGGCACUUUUCUCUGUAUCUGUGUCUACAAAAGCUUUGAAAUUUUAAAGUUAAUGAAAAUUUAAUGUUCUUACUCAUAGGUUAAUUAUUAAUACGUAAAUACCCAAUAACCAACUCAUCUCCCAUGCAGAGUUAUCGGUCCUUGCUCUCUCUCAAGGACCGAUAACACCUUACAAUCAUCCAAUGCACUAAAUAUAGUUGACCUAUUGCUUGUAGAUUCAAAUAAAACAGACUUAGCCAAGAAAACUUAACAUUGACAAUUUACAAUUGCAUAUCAGCGAGGGAUAAUUCAUAUAAACACAGAAGUGCUGACUACAGGACUGGUGAUAACCUCGGAGAAUAAAAACUCGACCAGCAGUGGAAUCGACCCAGUGGUUGUAAAUAAAUUAUUCAUAGAUACCAGCAUUGAAAUGAUGUAUUUGCGCCAGACGCGCGUUUCGUCUACAUAACUCAUCAAUGAAGCUCGAUUAAAAAGGGUUAAAAAGCCAAAUAAAGUACAAAGGUAAAGAGCAUAAUUCCAUUUAGGACAAAAGUUUCUUAAAAGUAUUGCCAAAUACAGCUAAGGUAUUGUAUUUCUUAGGUAGACUUGCGUUUUCAAAGGGUACUGAACCAUGGUUUAAAUGACGUC